ACUAGGGUUUUUGUUUAUAAGAUCUCGUCAUUGUUUCUGUACUUCGAUUAAGCUUUUCUUUAUCGGCAGCGGAGGAGAGAUUUGCAUUGAAACCUAGCGCAGCAGUUCAACAUGAGAGCUAAGUGGAAGAAGAAGCGUAUGAGGAGGUUGAAGAGGAAGCGCCGAAAGAUGAGGCAGAGAUCCAAGUAGAAGCACGAAUCUGUUUCCUCCUAUCUUCGGCUUUUUAGGUUUAUCUGUGCUGUUUCUGUUUUUGUUUCGGAGCGUUUUAGUAGUAACAUGUCGUUCUGUAAUCCGAGAAUUUCUGCUUUGUGGAGUAGUCGAGAUUGCAAUCUUCAGUUUUACACAAUGAACUUAAGAGUGUGUUGCUUUAAUAUAUUUCUCUCUCAAUUUUAUUCCUUUUGUCUCGUUACUAUAGCGAUUAUCUGCAAAUCAGAAAUGAUUAAUCUCUCUAAUAGUUUUUUUUUCUUUUUUGCUGUUUUGUUAAGAAUGUUGUUAUUAUAGAAGUGCAGUAGUGCUGAAUUCAUCUAAACACAUGAUAGUCUUGAGAAUGACCAUUGAAUGAAAGGAUAUUAUCUGCAA